GCACAGAGAAGCUUGCUUCUUCGGGUGGCGAGUGGCGAACGGGUGAGUAACAUAUCGGAACGUACCGAGUAAUGGGGGAUAACUAAUCGAAAGAUUAGCUAAUAACCGCAUAUUCUCUGAGGAGGAAAGCAGGGGACCUUCGGGCCUUGCGUUAUUCGAGCGGCCGAUAUCUGAUUAGCUAGUUGGUGGGGUAAAGGCCUACCAAGGCGACGAUCAGUAGCGGGUCUGAGAGGAUGAUCCGCCACACUGGGACUGAGACACGGCCCAGACUCCUACGGGAGGCAGCAGUGGGGAAUUUUGGACAAUGGGCGCAAGCCUGAUCCAGCCAUGCCGCGUGUCUGAAGAAGGCCUUCGGGUUGUAAAGGACUUUUGUCAGGGAAGAAAAGGCUGUUGCUAAUAUCGACAGCUGAUGACGGUACCUGAAGAAUAAGCACCGGCUAACUACGUG
rnacentral:rRNA from 1 species